GUUAGUGUAAUUUAUUAAAAAUGUGGCACUGAAAAUGCCAAUAUAGUCCGUCAAAAGCCUCACAAACA
rnacentral:tRNA from 1 species